GACGAACGCUGGCGGCGUGCCUAACACAUGCAAGUCGAACGGCCCGCCCCGUUGGAUCCCUUCGGGGAGAAGACGGGUUCCCGGGCAGUGGCGGACGGGUGAGUAACGCGUGGAGAACCUGUCUAUCAGUUGGGGAUAACCUGGCGAAAGUCGGGCUAAUCCCGAAUACGCUCUUGAGGUGGCAUCACUUUGGGAGGAAAGGUGCUUUCGGGCAUCGCUGAGAGGUGGCUCCGCGUCGGAUUAGCUAGCUGGUGGGGUAACGGCUCACCAGGGCGACGAUCCGUAGCUGGUCUGAGAGGAUGAUCAGCCACACUGGGACUGAGACACGGCCCAGACUCCUACGGGAGGCAGCAGUGGGGAAUAUUGCACAAUGGGGGAAACCCUGAUGCAGCAACGCCGCGUGAGUGAUGACGGCCUUCGGGUUGUAAAGCUCUGUCUUCAGGGACGAUAAUGACGGUACCUGAGGAGGAAGCCACGGCUAACUACGUGCCAGCAGCCGCGGUAAUACGUAGGUGGCGAGCGUUGUCCGGAUUUACUGGGCGUAAAGGGAGCGUAGGCGGAUUCUUAAGUGAGAUGUGAAAUACUCGGGCUUAACCUGAGUGCUGCAUUUCAAACUGGAAGUCUAGAGUGCA
rnacentral:rRNA from 1 species